rnacentral:rRNA from 1 species
AGUGAACGCUGGCGGUAGGCCUAACACAUGCAAGUCGAACGGCAGCACAGUAAGAGCUUGCUCUUACGGGUGGCGAGUGGCGGACGGGUGAGGAAUACAUCGGAAUCUACUUUUUCGUGGGGGAUAACGUAGGGAAACUUACGCUAAUACCGCAUACGACCUACGGGUGAAAGCAGGGGAUAUUCGGACCUUGCGCGAUUGAAUGAGCCGAUGUCGGAUUAGCUAGUUGGCGGGGUAAAGGCCCACCAAGGCGACGAUCCGUAGCUGGUCUGAGAGGAUGAUCAGCCACACUGGAACUGAGACACGGUCCAGACUCCUACGGGAGGCAGCAGUGGGGAAUAGUGGACAAUGGGCGCAAGCCUGAUCCAACCAUACCGCGUGGGUGAAGAAGGCCUUCGGGUUGUAAAGCCCUUUUGUUGGGAAAGAAAAGCAGCAGGUUAAUACCCCGCUGUUCUGACGGUACCCAAAGAAUAAGCACCGGCUAACUUCGUG